rnacentral:rRNA from 1 species
AAUGAGGACUAGUAUGAAUGGCACCACGAGGGUUAUACUGUCUCCCCUUUCUAAUCAGUGAAACUAAUCUCCCCGUGAAGAAGCGGGAAUAAAUAUAUAAGACGAGAAGACCCUAUGGAGCUUUAAACCAUGCGACACUUGCACCAACCCAUGCAAAUUUCAGAAAAAUCCCCCCACCCAUGCAAGAUGAUCACCAGUUUUAGGUUGGGGUGACCGCGGAGCAAAAAAUAACCUCCACAUUGAAAGGAGCCCUACUCCUUAGCUUAGAGCCACACCUCCAUGCACCAAUACAAUGACAUUAAUUGACCCAAUAUUUUGAUCAACGAACCAAGUUACCCUAGGGAUAACAGCGCAAUCCACUUCAAGAGCUCCUAUCGACAAG